GUAACUUCUUCUUUUU
rnacentral:sRNA from 1 species